AUUGAACGCUGGCGGCAUGCCUUACACAUGCAAGUCGAACGGCAGCACGGACUUCGGUCUGGUGGCGAGUGGCGAACGGGUGAGUAACGUAUCGGAACGUACCAUUCAGUGGGGGAUAACUAUCCGAAAGGAUAGCUAAUACCGCAUAUUCUGUGCGCAGGAAAGCAGGGGACCCUCGGGACCUUGCGCUGAUUGAGCGGCCGAUAUCAGAUUAGCUAGUUGGUGAGGUAAAAGGCUCACCAAGGCGACGAUCUGUAGCGGGUCUGAGAGGAUGAUCCGCCACACUGGAACUGAGACACGGUCCAGACUCCUACGGGAGGCAGCAGUGGGAAUUUUGGACAAUGGGGGCAACCCUGAUCCAGCCAUGCCGCGUGAGUGAAGAAGGCCUUCGGGUUGUAAAGCUCUUUCGGCCGGGAAGAAAUCGCAUCAGUUAAUACCUGGUGUGGAUGACGGUACCGGAAUAAGAAGCACCGGCUAACUACGUG
rnacentral:rRNA from 1 species